ensembl:lncRNA
UGCAAAUUUAUUUACAUGACCAGUCCUCUGGUAUUAAUCCCACUGAUAAAAGUUUGGACACCUUUGGCCUACAUCAGUGCAUCCUAGAUAGAACAAGGCUAAAAUUUCCCAAGAAAUAGACUGCAAACGUUUGCACCCCCUUAAAAAAAGCUGUCUUUUUCCACAGAUGCUGCUUUUUGGAUCAUUUAAUUAUGGUACAACUUAUAUUAACAGUGAGCAUCUUUGUAAAUAAAUAAAUUACAUUAAAAAUAAAUUCAAUCAGUUCAAAAGCGCGUAUCUCUUCUUGUGAGUGUGAUAUUCUAACAACCUCCAACAGUCAUUCUAUCAUCUGAGCUGAGUAGCUUCUGACGUUCUUGUCAAAUUUUAGCACAGGAUGCACUCACAUUUCUUUCUCUUUUUUUUCUUUUAACAACAUGGAAUUGGUAAUGAUAAUGUUCAUCCAGAAACCAUCAGGGAUGCAAAUUUUGCACUCCGGGCUGUCCGGUGCACUUUCAUUCAUUCACUUUAUCCUGGUCACAAAUGAGGUGGAUCCAGAACCCAGGAACACUGGACACCGGAAUAUACACAAGGUUGGAAUUAUGUGCAGUUUUUAGGGGUCCAAGCACCAAGUACUUUGAAUUGUAUUAUUAUUAUUAUUAUUAGGUUACUGUUUUGGAAAGCAUUAAAAUGUUUAUAUAUGUAUCUGCGUAGCUGGAGUAAGAUGUUAGAUUAAUAUGUCAAUCUACCCUGCAGGAGAACCCAAGCACUAUGCAGGAUGUUUAUAAUGAUUAUGUCAUUCUACCCUGAAGAGACAGACAGAGACAGAGACAGAGAGAGAGAGAGAGAGAGAGAGAAAGAGAGAGACCCAAGAUGAGCCUACGUCACGCAUGAAAACAACUAAUGCAGGAGAAUGCGUGGAAGAUCCACAAAUAUUGAGAGAAGCUCUGCAGAAUCAUCUCGUUUUCUCUAUGCAUGUUUAUAUUUUCUCUAUGCAUGUUUAUGUUUUCUCUAUGCAUGUUUAUGUUUUCUCUAUGCAUGUUAUAUUUUCUCUAUGCAUGUUUAUGUUUUCUCUAUGCAUGUUUAUAUUUUCUCUAAUGCAUGUUUGUUUUCUCUAUGCAUGUUUAUAUUUUCUCUAUGCAUGUUUAUAUUUCUCUAUGCAUGUUUAUGUUUUCUCUAUGCAUGUUUGUUUUCUCUAUGCAUGUUUAUGUUUUCUCUAUGCAUGUUUAUGUUUUCUCUAUGCAUGUUUAUGUUUUCUCUAUGCAUGUUUGUUUCUCUAUGCAUGUUUAUAUUUUCUCUAUGCAUGUUUAUAUUUUCUCUAUGCAUGUUUGUUUUCUCUAUGUAUGUUUAUAUUUCUCUAUGCAUGUUUAUGUUUUCUCUAUGCAUGGUUUUCUCUAUGUAUGUUUAUGUUUUCUCUAUGCAUGUUUAUGUUUUCUCUAUGCAUGUUUAUGUUUUCUCUAUGCAUGUUUAUAUUUUCUCUAUGUAUGUUUAUAUUUUCUCUAUGCAUGUUUGUUUUCUCUAUGCAUGUUUAUGUUUUCUCUAUGCAUGUUUAUGUUUUCUCUAUGCAUGUUUAUAUUUCUCUCUAUGUAUGUUUAUGUUUUCUCUAUGCAUGUUUAUGUUUUCUCUAUGCAUGUUUAUAUUUUCUCUAUGCAUGUUUAUGUUUUCUCUAUGCAUGUUUAUGUUUUCUCUAUGCAUGUUUAUAUUUUCUCUAUGCAUGUUUGUUUUCUCUAUGCAUGUUUAUAUUUUCUCUAUGCAUGUUUAUAUUUUCUCUAUGCAUGUUAAUUUUAUAUAUGCAUGUUUAUGGUUUCUCUAUACCUGUUUAUAUUUUCUCUAUGCAUGUUUGUUUUCUCUAUGCAUGUUUAUAUUUUCUCUAUGCAUGUUUAUAUUUUCUCGAUGCAUGUUUAUAUUUUCUCUAUGCAUGUUUAUGUUUUCUCUAUGCAUGUUUAUGUUUUCUCUAUGCAUGUU